GACGAACGCUGGCGGCGUGCUUAACACAUGCAAGUCGAACGGAAAGGCCCCUUUGGGGGUACUCGAGUGGCGAACGGGUGAGUAACACGUGAGUAACCUGCCCUUGACUUCGGGAUAACUUCAGGAAACUGGGGCUAAUACCGGAUAGGAAUCCUUGCUGCAUGGUGGGGGUUGGAAAGCUUCGGCGGUUUUGGAUGGACUCGCGGCUUAUCAGCUUGUUGGUGGGGUAGUGGCUUACCAAGGCUUUGACGGGUAGCCGGCCUGAGAGGGCGACCGGCCACAUUGGGACUGAGAUACGGCCCAGACUCCUACGGGAGGCAGCAGUGGGGAAUAUUGCACAAUGGGCGGAAGCCUGAUGCAGCAACGCCGCGUGCGGGAUGACGGCCUUCGGGUUGUAAACCGCUUUCAGCAGGGGCGAAGCUUGUGGUGACGGUACCUGAAGAAGAAGCACCGGCUAACUACGU
rnacentral:rRNA from 1 species